GUCAGAGCCAUAUCUCCCUGCAAUUCUCACCUGGUUUCUCACUGAAGCUAAGCAGAGUUGAGCCUGACCAGUACCUGGAUGGAAGAUGACAUGUGGAAAACUAAGGUUGCUGCUGGAA
rnacentral:rRNA from 1 species